GGAUGAGAAUGUUGUCGGAGAGGGUCUUGGUAGCAUCAUCUAUCUGGAAUUUAGCAAGAAUUUAUUUAACGGUUACUAUUGUGAAAUCUUGAUCAUUAUUUUCAAACGUUUUGGUGUCGAUGAGUGAGGAAUUACUUUUUUCGAAUUGAUUCCCAGCUCAUCUAGUAUGAUUGUUAAUCACAACAAUUGUUUUUGUAAAGAAAGAUUAUUUCCAAACGUCAAGAUUACAAACACGCGUUUCUGUCAAUAAAUUCCGAGUAAAUCAUUUG
ensembl:antisense_RNA F20G2.9 ncRNA